UGGCGGACAGUACGGAUGAAACACUGUCGACGCAAACUAGGCGAAAAGUUCUAUGAGAAAUAACAAAAAAAAUAAGAAAAAACAAUCCAACAUUUUUAGCAUAAAUUGUGUGCUAAACCAUAAGAUUUCCAUGAGCAAAUAGGCAAAGAAGAAGAAAUAAAAAAAAAAGAAAACAACUAACCUCAUAAAAAAGUUCAUGCAGUGAAAAAAACCAAGAAAAUUUGCCAGCAGCAUAUUUGUCAAAUAAAAAAAGUAAUAACAGCAAAAAGAGUGUGCGCAAUCUGUACCCUUCUCGCUCUUGCUCUUAUAUAAACGGCAAAUAAUUCUUGAGAUUGGCUAUAACAAAAACAACACCGACGUGAAAAAGGAAAGCUCUGCCUACAACAACGAAAAUUUGUGGAUUUACAUUUCCUGUGUGCAGCAGCAGCAGCACCAGCAACGUCGUCUUUGCCGUCGUCGUCGGCGUUUCUUUUGUGGAUUAUUACUACCUAAAAACCGCUGCUCACUUUGCGGGCCGCACUCUCUUACUCAGUCGCUCUUACGCUCGCUCUCUGUCGCACGCGAGUGCAAGGGUCGCUGCGCGAGCAAGCCAGCAGGCAACGAAAAUCCUCGUUCGCACCUUGCUCCCCACCAUUCUCUCUCACAUUCUCACCCAUCCACUACUCACUACUCUGUGUCUCUCCCAUAACGUCGCUCACCGCCGCCGCCAUCAACAACAACACCAACUAAAAACAACAAGAGCAGCAACAACAACAGCGACU